rnacentral:rRNA from 1 species
UAAGACGAACCGUGCGAACGUUGUUCGGAAUCACUGGGCUUAAAGGGCGCGUAGGCGGAUCAGCAAGUCCGGGGUGAAAUCUUUCGGCUUAACCGGAAAAGUGCCUUGGAUACUGCUGAUCUUGAGGGAGGUAGGGGCAUGUGGAACUUCUGGUGGAGCGGUGAAAUGCGUUGAUAUCAGAAGGAACGCCGGUGGCGAAAGCGACAUGCUGGCCCUCUUCUGACGCUGAGGCGCGAAAGCUAGGGUAGCGAACGGGAUUAGAUACCCCGGUAGUCCUAGCCCUAAACGAUGGGUACUAGGUUGUGGGCUAAACAUGGGCUCACAGCCGAAGCAAAAGUGUUAAGUACCCCGCCUGGGGAGUAUGGUCGCAAGGCUG